rnacentral:sRNA from 1 species
ACUCAACGCCAAUUCUUUAAAAUGGGUGAAUCGUCGCUACUAUAGCAAGCUGCCCUGAGCAGAUCCUUGAACAGCGGGUUAGCCCAAAACUUGUCUUAUCGAGUUU